rnacentral:tRNA from 1 species
GUUCUUAUAGUUGAGUAUACAACGAUGAUUUUUCAUGUCAUAGGUCAUGGAGUAAAGCCAUGUAAGAAUA